UGGCUAAGUCAGUUAAGAAUCUGCCUGCAAUGCAGGAGACCUAGGUUCAAUCCCUAG
rnacentral:tRNA from 1 species